UACGUAGGGGGCAAGCGUUGUCCGGAUUUAUUGGGCGUAAAGAGCGUGUAGGCGGCCAGGUAGGUCAGCUGUGAAAACUCGAGGCUCAACCUCGAGACGCCGGUUGAAACCAUCUGGCUAGAGUCCGGAAGAGGAGAGUGGAAUUCCUGGUGUAGCGGUGAAAUGCGCAGAUAUCAGGAAGAACACCCGUGGCGAAGGCGGUUCUCUGGGACGGUACUGACGCUGAGACGCGAAAGCGUGGGGAGCGAACAGG
rnacentral:rRNA from 1 species